rnacentral:rRNA from 1 species
GCUACGGCCAUACCAGCCUGGGUACGCCCGAUCUCGUCUGAUCUCGGAAGCUAAGCAGGGUCGGGCCUGGUUAGUACUUGAUGGGAGACCGCCUGGGAAUACCAGGUGCUGUAAGCA